rnacentral:rRNA from 1 species
CAGUAGCCGCGGUAAUACGGAGGGGGCUAGCGUUGUUCGGAAUUACUGGGCGUAAAGCGCACGUAGGCGGUUUUGUAAGUCAGAGGUGAAAGCCCGGAGCUCAACUCCGGAACUGCCUUUGAGACUGCAUCACUUGAACGUCGGAGAGGUGAGUGGAAUUCCGAGUGUAGAGGUGAAAUUCGUAGAUAUUCGGAAGAACACCAGUGGCGAAGGCGGCUCACUGGACGACUGUUGACGCUGAGGUGCGAAAGCGUGGGGAGCAAACAGGAUUAGAUACCCCAGUAGUCCCUGUCUCUUAUAC